rnacentral:rRNA from 1 species
CCCUUAGAUGUUCUGGGCCGCACGCGCGCUACACUGAAGGGAUCAGCGUGUUUUCCCUUCCCGAGAGGGACGGGUAACCCGCUGAACCCCCUUCGUGGUAGGGAUCGGAGUUUGCAAUUGUUCUCCGUGAACCAGGAAUUCCCAGUAAGCGCAAGUCAUAAGCUUGCGUUGAUUACGUCCCUGCCCUUUGUACACACCGCCCGUCGCUACUACCGAUUGAACGUUUUAGUGAGGUAUUUGGACUGGGCCUUGGGAGGUUUCGGCCUCCCUUGUUGCUCGGAAAGACUCCCAAACUUGAGCGUUUAGAGGAAGUAAAAGUCGUAACA